rnacentral:rRNA from 1 species
UGAGGAAUAUUGGGCAAUGCCCGCAAGGGUGACCCAGCAACGCCGCGUGGAGGAUGAAUGUCGUAAGAUUGCAAACUCCUGUUAGAGGGGAAGAAUAGUACCGGUUGGACCGGUAUAUGACUGUACCCUCAGAGAAAGCCCCGGCUAACUACGUGCCAGCAGCCGCGGUAAUACGUAGGGGGCAAGCGUUGUCCGGAUUUACUGGGUGUAAAGGGCGCGCAGGCGGGAUAAAAAGUCAGUGGUGAAAUCCUACAGCUUAACUGUAGAACUGCCUUUGAUACUGUGUAUCUUGAAUAUGAGAGAGGUAGGCGGAAUGUUGCAUGUUGCGGUGAAAUGCUUAGAUAUGCUACGGAACACCGAUUGCGAAGGCAGCUUACUAUUUCGUAAUUGACGCUGAGGCACGAAAGCGUGGGUAGCGAACA